AUUGAACGCUGGCGGCAUGCCUUACACAUGCAAGUCGAACGGCAGCACGGGAGCAAUCCUGGUGGCGAGUGGCGAACGGGUGAGUAAUAUAUCGGAACGUGCCCAGUCGUGGGGAUAACGUAGCGAAAGCUACGCUAAUACCGCAUACGAUCUAUGGAUGAAAGCGGGGGAUCGCAAGACCUCGCGCGAUUGGAGCGGCCGAUAUCAGAUUAGGUAGUUGGUGAGGUAAAGGCUCACCAAGCCGACGAUCUGUAGCUGGUCUGAGAGGACGACCAGCCACACUGGGACUGAGACACGGCCCAGACUCCUACGGGAGGCAGCAGUGGGGAAUUUUUGGACAAUGGGCGCAAGCCUGAUCCAGCAAUG
rnacentral:rRNA from 1 species